UCCAGAGAGGUUUUUUUAUUUUAAAUGUUUUAAUUUAACUGGGCAAGUCCUUGAAAAUAAGAAUUUGUUCUUAACUGACUUGCCUAGUUAAAUAAAGGUUAAAUAAAAAAAUCAAAUAAAAAGUCAGCUAAGAACAAAUUCUUAUUUACAAUGACGGCCUACCCUGACCAAACCCUAACCCAGACGACACUUGGCCAAUUGUGCACCGCCCUAUGGGACUCCCAAUAACGGCCGGUUGUGAUACAGCCUGGAAUCGAACCAGGGUCUGUAGUGACGCCCCUAGCACUGAGAUAUAGUGCCUUCGACCGCUGCGCCACUCGGGAGCCCAUGAACAGUUGCGGUUCUACAUGGAUCCCAAAAGGCUUCUACCUGGAACCAAAAAGGGUCCUCCUAUAGGGACAGCCGAAGAUCCCUUUUCAAAGAGUGUAGGACACAUCAGGUAUUCUCUCAUGCCGGGUUACAAACAGUGUUUCUCAGUUCACCAUCAGGUGAGACCAUACAAAAUGCCUAUUCUCCAAACAGCUACCAUGGUCAGGUGCCAUGGUCAGGUGAGACCAUACAAAAUCCCUAUUCUCCAAACAGCUACCAUGGUCAGGUGCCAUGGUCAGGGCCGUAACCAAGAUUUGAGUUUUAGUAAGGUCUGGAAGGAGGGGGGGCUGUUUCUGAAAGUUGAUGCUCAUUUACUACAUUUAUUUACAAUUAAAAAAACUUUAAUAUGCUAUUUGGAGAAGAGCAAAAACAAGCGAAAAUGACCCCAGCCAUUAUCACCUUUGCUGCUGAAGGUCUACAAAAACAUGGCCUAUUAGUUAUACAAUUGUAAUGUUACACCCCUGAAAGUGAGAAAUAUUAGAAAUAAUUCACACUGACACGUAGCAUCAGAGACGAAACAGAAACCUGACAGUAAGACGUGUAUAUGGGAGGCGAAGUCAAGUGCAGGACAGCGGAGUAUAAUAAACAGGUGCACUUUAAUACCGGUUACCAAAUGACAGCACAUAACACAUACUAGUGCCAAAAACACGGUCUAAAACAAAAGUGACGCGCCUGACAAAUAUCCACGUAACAAUAAACAAUCACUCACAAAUACAACAUGGGGAACAGAGGGUUAAAUAAUAAACGAGUAAUUGGUUGAGUGAAGCCAGGUGUGAUAAGACAAAGACAGAACAAAUGGAAAAUGAAAAGUGGAUCGGUGGUGGCUAGAAAGCCGGUGAAGUCGACCGGAACCACUGUACUCACCUCUCUGCUUGCUUCCUCCCCUUCACCAGCCACACCACUGAUCACCACGUCACUGAUCACCACGUCACUGUCUGUCUCAGUAGCCUAUGAGCAAUUAGUAAUGUAUUUCUUACUCCGUUUAACAUUAGCUUCUACUUCAUCCUAGCUGACUAAGUAAU
rnacentral:lncRNA from 1 species